GAUGAACGCUGGCGGCGUGCCUAAUACAUGCAAGUCGAGCGAACAGACGAGGAGCUUGCUCCUCUGACGUUAGCGGCGGACGGGUGAGUAACACGUGGAUAACCUACCUAUAAGACUGGGAUAACUUCGGGAAACCGGAGCUAAUACCGGAUAAUAUAUUGAACCGCAUGGUUCAAUAGUGAAAGACGGUUUUGCUGUCACUUAUAGAUGGAUCCGCGCCGCAUUAGCUAGUUGGUAAGGUAACGGCUUACCAAGGCAACGAUGCGUAGCCGACCUGAGAGGGGGAUCGGCCACACUGGAACUGAGACACGGUCCAGACUCCUACGGGAGGCAGCAGUAGGGAAUCUUCCGCAAUGGGCGAAAGCCUGACGGAGCAACGCCGCGUGAGUGAUGAAGGUCUUCGGAUCGUAAAACUCUGUUAUUAGGGAAGAACAAAUGUGUAAGUAACUAUGCACGUCUUGACGGUACCUAAUCAGAAAGCUACGGCUAACUACGUG
rnacentral:rRNA from 1 species